rnacentral:rRNA from 1 species
CAGUAAGGAAUAUUGCCCGUCAUAUGGACGAAAGUCUGAACCAGCCAUGCCGCGUGAAGGAUGAAGGUCCUCUGGAUUGUAAACUUCUUUUAUCUGGGACGAAAAAAGGGAAUUCUUUCCCACUUGACGGUACCAGAGGAAUAAGCACCGGCUAACUCCGUGCCAGCAGCCGCGGUAAUACGGAGGGUGCAAGCGUUAUCCGGAUUCACUGGGUUUAAAGGGUGCGUAGGUGGGUCUGUAAGUCAGUGGUGAAAUCUCCGAGCUUAACUCGGAAACUGCCGUUGAUACUAUAGGUCUUGAAUCAUCUAGGAGGUAAGCGAGAAUAUGUCAUGUAGCGGUGAAAUGCUUGAGAUAUGGACAUAGAACACCAAUUGCGAAGGCAGCUUACUACGGAUGCAUUCGACACUGAGGCACGAAAGCGUGGGGAUCAAACAGGAUUAGAUACCCUGGUAGUCCACGCCCUAAACGAUGGAUACUCGACAUUUGCGAUAUACUGUAAGUGUCUGAGCGAAAGCAUUAAGUAUCCCACCUGGGAAGUACGACCGGCAAGGUUGAAACUC